UACAGAGGUCCCAAGCGUUGUUCGGAUUCACUGGGCGUAAAGGGUGCGUAGGUGGUGAGGUAAGUCGGAUGUGAAAGCUCGGAGCUCAACUCCGAAAUGGCAUUGGAAACUACCUUGCUCGAGGGUUGGAGGGGGGACUGGAAUACUUGGUGUAGCAGUGAAAUGCGUAGAUAUCGGGAGGAAUACCAGUGGCGAAGGCGGCCUUCUGGACGGAUACUGACGCUGAGGCGCGAAAGCCAGGGGAGCAAACGGG
rnacentral:rRNA from 1 species